UAAGUUAAAUAUUUAAUACCAGUUAAUUGCUUGUUUUAUAAAGUGCUGUGCAAACCUAUCAUGGGUUGUAAGUAAUACUAGCAGGCUGUGCCCCGUGCUUGCUAUGCUUGCCAACCCCCCUCUCCCUGGUGGCUUUCGUGGCCAGAGAGCAUUAGAGCGUGAUGAUGUCAUUCUGCAGGUUGGGGUGCAGGGUCUGGUCUUGGAUUUAGGGAUUUGGAGUUCAGGAGGGACCAUGAGCUAAGCUUGGGUCAGUCAGUUGGGGUGCCAGAGGAGUUCUAGAUGCAGGCUUGGGAAGGGUGUUCGGAUGCAGGAGGGGGUUCAUGACUGGGGUAGGGUUUCAGAAUGUGAGCUCCAACUGGGCUCUGCAUAUCUCAGGUGGCUCCUGGGUGAUGGUGCAGUGGGGCUAAGGCAGGCUCACCCCUACCCUGGCCCUGGCCCACUCCCAAAACCAGUCAGCAAACUCCCUCCCAAGUUCUGUUGUACCCCCUCUCUGCCCACAAGGUGGGAGAAGGAGCACCCUGACAUCAGAACCCCUCUUCUCUCUUCCUGCACAGCAAGCAGGAGGCUCCUCGGGGUGGGGGGAGGCAGCUCCAAGGCAAAGGGCAGGAGGUGUACAGCAGUAGGGGGAGGAGCAGCCAAAGUGUGGGCAGUUGAUAGCCUCUUGGCCAAACCAGCCAGGAUCAUCUGUCAGAGGAUCCAAGAUCUAAUAGUAGAUCCCGAUCUAGUGGUUGGUUACCACUGCUUUUAAACUUUCUCUUUAGCUUGAUGUUAUUGAAUGUACAGGAACAUAAUGUCAAUAGUAUUUAAGUUGGGAUUAUACAGUACUGUAAUAUUUUUUCUUAAUAUUUUAUCAUUUUUGAAAACAAGCCCAAUAAAUAGGCUAACUUGAAUCUUAAAUCCAAAUAUCUUUGAUUCAGAUCAUUUGAGGAUGCUUAAAUAUGUGUGUCCUACAAAAGAAGUUUGUAGUUUAUGUAUCUUUCUGAUGUAUUAAUGGCAGAAAUAAAAAAUACUUAUGAGCAAUAUUAUA